rfam:Gossypium raimondii Chr09_contig_549, whole genome shotgun sequence.
AAUAAGAAAAUGACAAAUCAGAUUUUUUCUCCUGAUAUUCAACUUUUUCCCUGAAAAAUUUUAAUCUAACUAAAAAUGUUGAAUAUCUGGAGAAAAAAUAUAAUUUGUCAUUCUUCUAUU